UCAAGCUACAAAGAGCACAAGGGGAAUGCCUUGGCACCGAGAGCCGAUGAAGGACGUGACUAACUGCGAUAAGCUACGGGGAGCUGUAAGUGAGCGUUAUAUCCGUAGAUUUCCGAAUGGAGCAAUCCGAUUAGAGGAAAGUCUAAUCAUCAUAUACUGAAUACAUAGGUAUAUGAGGGGAACCGCCUGAACUGAAACAUCUAAGUAGGGCGAGGAAGAGAAAUCAACUGAGAUUCCGUAAGUAGUGGCGAGCGAACGCGGAAGAGGCCAAACCUAAUGUAGUAAUAUGUUAGGGGUUCGGACAGUAUAAUGAAUUGUCAAGAUUUAGCCGAAUGUCAUGGGAAGGGCAAUCAAAGAAGGUGAAAAUCCUGUAGGCGAAAAGUUAAGACAUCAGACUGUAUCCAGAGUACCGCCGGACACGUGAAACCCGGUGGGAAUACGGGGGGACCAUCCUCCAAGCCUAAAUACUACUCGGUGACCGAUAGAGAAGAAGUACUGUGAAGGAAAGGUGAAAAGCACCCCGGAAGGGGAGUGAAAGAGAACCUGAAACCUUGUGUUUACAAGCACCGAAAGUUCAUCAACGAACGAUCGGGUACCUUUUGUAGAAUGGUCCGGCGAGUGAAUGUAACUGGCAAGGUUAAGCACUUAAGGUGUGAAGCCGUAGCGAGAGCGAGUCUGAAAAGGGCGCAUGAAGUCAGUUGUAUUCGACCCGAAACCGGGUGACCUACCCAUGUCCAGGCUGAAGUGCAGGUAAAACUUCAUGGAGGGCCGAACCGACUCCCGUUGAAAUGGUAGCGGAUGAGGUGUGGGUAGCGGAGAAAUUCCAAUCGAACCCGGAGAUAGCUGGUUCUCUCCGAAAUAGCUUUAGGGCUAGCCUUGGAAUAGAUUACUGGAGGUAAAGCACUGAAUUGGCUAGGGGCCGAGAGGUUACUGAACCUUAUCAAACUAAGAAUGCCAGAUAAUCGUUUUCCAGGAGUCAGACAGUGGGAGAUAAGUUUCAUUGUCAAAAGGGAAACAGCCCAGACCUACAGCUAAGGUCCCAAAGUAUAGUUAAGUGGAAAAGGAUGUGGAAUUGCAUAGACAACCAGGAUGUUGGCUUAGAAGCAGCCACUCAUUAAAAGAGUGCGUAAUAGCUCACUGGUCGAGUGAUUCUGCGCCGAAAAUUUAACGGGGCUAAACUAUACACCGAAGCUUAGGAUACCGCAAGGUAUGGUAGGAGAGCGUUCUGUACGGAGUGAAGUCGUAGCGAAAGCGGCGGUGGACUGUACAGAAGUGAGAAUGCCGGAAUAAGUAGCGAGAAUUAAGUGAGAAUCUUAAUGGCCGAAAGUCUAAGGUUUUUGGAGGAAGGUUCGUCCGCUCCAAGUAAGUCGGGAGCUAAGGUCAGGCCGAAAGGCGUAGCCGAUGCACAAACGGUUGAUAUUCCGUUACCGUCUACAAUUUAAACAAAGGGACACAUACAAAGCGUUUAACCCGGGCGAUGGUUGACCCGGGCGCAAGGGACUGAAAUAAGAGUAGGGAAGUAAAUGUAGCGUAUGGCGAGAAAAGCUUUGUGUAUAGAAGUAGACGCCCGUACCGCAAACCGACACAGGUGGACAGGAAGAGAAUUCUAAGGCCAGCGGGAGAAGGGUAGUUAAGGAACUCGGCAAAUUGACUCCGUAACUUCGGAAUAAGGAGUGCUCGAAAGAGCCGCAGAGAAUAGGCCCAGGCGACUGUUUAGCAAAAACACAGGUCUCUGCCAAAUCGAAAGAUGAAGUAUAGGGGCUGACACCUGCCCGGUGCCGGAAGGUUAAGAGGAGGAGUGCAAGCUCCGAAUUGAAGCCCCGGUAAACGGCGGCCGUAACUAUAACGGUCCUAAGGUAGCGAAAUUCCUUGUCGGGUAAGUUCCG
rnacentral:rRNA from 1 species